UCCGUGCCAGCAGCCGCGGUAAUACGGAGGGUGCGAGCGUUAAUCGGAAUUACUGGGCGUAAAGGGUGCGUAGGUGGUUUGUUAAGUUAUCUGUGAAAUCCCUGGGCUCAACCUGGGAACUGCAGAUAAUACUGUUUGACUCGAGUAUGGGAGAGGGUAGUGGAAUUUCCGGUGUAGCGGUGAAAUGCGUAGAGAUCGGAAGGAACACCAGUGGCGAAGGCGGCUACCUGGCCUAAUACUGACACUGAGGCACGAAAGCGUGGGGAGCAAACAGGAUUAGAUACCCUGGUAGUCCACGCUGUAAACGAUGUCAACU
rnacentral:rRNA from 1 species